GACGAACGCUGGCGUCGUGCUUAACACAUGCCAGUCGAACGGAAAGGCCCUGCUUUUGUGGGGUGCUCGAGUGGCGAACGGGUGAGUAACACGUGAGUAACCUGCCCUUGACUUUGGGAUAACUUCAGGAAACUGGGGCUAAUACCGGAUAGGAGCUCCUGCUGCAUGGUGGGGGUUGGAAAGUUUCGGCGGUUGGGGAUGGACUCGCGGCUUAUCAGCUUGUUGGUGGGGUAGUGGCUUACCAAGGCUUUGACGGGUAGCCGGCCUGAGAGGGUGACCGGCCACAUUGGGACUGAGAUACGGCCCAGACUCCUACGGGAGGCAGCAGUGGGGAAUAUUGCACAAUGGGCGGAAGCCUGAUGCAGCAACGCCGCGUGCGGGAUGACGGCCUUCGGGUUGUAAACCGCUUUCGCCUGUGACGAAGCGUGAGUGACGGUAAUGGGUAAAGAAGCACCGGCUAACUACGUG
rnacentral:rRNA from 1 species